AGAUGCCACAAUAAGAAUGGAAUUUCCGGAAACAAAUACAGUGCAUUGUGAAGACUUGCCCAAUCUAAGGAGUUUUUCCUCAGGAGACAUUGUUGAAUGGCCAUACUUGGAGAAUCUUAUUCUGAACCACUGCCCUAACUUAAAGAAGUUUGGAUUCGGAAAGAUAAAAGAGUCACGAUUAAAAUCAUUCAUCAUGGAAAAUCAAGUGCAACAUAAUAUUGAUACACAAGUUACCAAUUUUUUUGAAUCAUGGGAUGAUGAAUUAUCAACAAUUACUAAGUAUGAAAUUGGUGACAAUGAGGAAUUAGGCAAGAUAUUGGACAAUCUUCGUCCAUCGCAUUUCACCAACUUGUUACAAUUCCAGGCAAAAAAUGUUGGCGAAAAGGUGAAUAGAUUUCUUGAUGUUUUGAGGAUGAGGUCAAAUAAACUUGAAGUUAUCAACAUUCAACAAUGCAAUACAAUACAAUAUUUGUUUGAUGCUUCUUUUGCUCUUAACCCUGAUGAAGAUGGACAUGGUAUAUAUUUCAGACAGAUGAGGGAAUUAAAAUUAAUAGAACUAUAUAAUCUAAAAACUGUAUGGUAUGGGAAUCCAGCAAGAUAUUAUGGCCUCGAAAAUCUCCAAUUGAUACACAUCAAAAGUUGCCCCUCUCUAAUACGUCUAUUCUAUUAUGGUGCAACAUGGAAGCUCCACCAACUAAAUGAAUUAAAGUUAGAGGCAUGUGAGCAGAUAACCGGUUUAGUUUUUUCUCGUUAUGAUGAGAUACUACCAGCAAAGUUCCCAUCACUAACCAAGGUAGAGUUUAAGUCUCUCUCAAGAUUGAAAUGGUUCUACAGUUGUGGAGUAGAAUUGCCAAGUCUAAAAUCCUUGACAAUAGAAAAAUGUCCUCAAUUGACUUCAUUCACAAAUGGGUUUGCAAUCGCAAAUGCAUCACCCACAAUUAUUGAUGGGAAGUCUUUCUUUGAGCUAAAUGAACUCACAUUACGUAGUUGUGACAAGUUGGUUGUUGUUGUGUCAUCUAAGACUUUACAAGAGUUAGGAAAAUUGAAGAAACUCAUUGUGAGUGAUUGUAUGGAAUUGAAAAUGUUAUUCAACAUUGAUGGAACAAUAUCUCAUUCAACUGAGCUCCUAAAACAGUUAGAUGAAUUGAUCUUGAAUGAUCUACCUAAUUUAACUCAAAUCAUCAACGAAGAAAUUGUCGAGCUCUAUCAAAACUUGAAAAUCCUACAAGUGAAGAAUUGUGAGUCUCUUGAAUGGUUGCCCAUAUCUCAAGUGUUAAAAAAUAUGGAAAUUAUCGAUUGCACAGCCUUGCAUAAAAUUAUGAUCAUCCAUGAAGAAGAAGGAAAGAGAGUUGUCAUUGGACAAAUUGAAGGUACUUUAUGUAAUGAAUCAACCGGUUGAGGAGCUUUGGCACUACAAUUAUCCUUCUGAAUCAUUUUGUGAGUUGGAAUAUCUUACUUUGAGAAACAACAAAAAGUUAUUGAGUGUCUUCCCCCCCGCCAUGAUAGUAAGAUUCAACAAGCUAAAAAAAUUGACUUUAGAAAAAUGUGAAUUAUUGGCCGAGGUAUUUAUCCUUGAAGGUGACAAACCAAAUCAUGAUAACCAAGAAAUGCUUCCUCAACUAAGGGUGUUAGCAAUGAGUAACCUAAGUAAUUUGACAUGUUUCUGGAACAAGGAACCUCAAGUUCCAUUUUUCCUUAAUUUGGUUUCACUUUUCAUUAUUCAUUGCCAUUGCCUCAAAAGCUUAUUCUCACUUUCUCAGGCCCAAAAUCUUAAAAAACUCAAAAUACUCAGAUUGUGUAAUUGUGAGAAAGUAGAAGAGGUAAUAUCUAGUGAUAAAGGUGAAAAGGUGGCUACCAUUUUCCCUAAAAUGAAAUGUCUUGUGCUCAAGGAUCUUCCAAAGCUUGUCAACUUUUGUCAGGAAGGAGGAUGUUUUAAUUGGCCUAACUUACAAACAGUGAGGGUGAACAAUAUUCCAAGUAUGAAAACAUUUUUGAGAGAUGAUCUUAAUACACCAUUGUUGAAAUCAGUGUAUAUAACAUUUGCUAAGAAACUUUGGCUUGGAAAUUUGAACAAGACCAUAUCAUAUAUGCACAACAAUCCAGGGAUGACAUUACAAGGAAGAAUAUGAAGAUUACAUAUUAAAUAGAAGAGAUCUGAGGAAAGGCUUCAAAGUCACAUUAAUCAAGUAUAAAUAUAUACAUUGCAUUAGCCUUUUAGAUGUAAUAUUAUUCGUACUUUGUGUAUAAAAAAUUAUAAUUCAUACUUGUCUUUAAAAACAUUGUAAUUCAUACAUACAUAAAUAUUUUUAGGAUAAAAUAAGCUUUUACAUGUAUAAAUACAUACAUAAUUGAUUUUUGGUUUAAAGGUGAACGAUCAUAAAAGUCAAUUGGUAGGGGUGAAUGUUGUUAAUGAAUGGUUAAUGGAUGCGACGGUUAUUUUGAAUUGUAAGGUUGGAUUCCUACCUUUCGAAUAAUUGGGGUUACCGAUUGGGGCAAAUCCAAGAAAGAAAGGAGUGGAAAUCUAUAGUGGAAUUGGUGGGAAAUAG